rnacentral:rRNA from 1 species
UUGUUUUUUAUGAUGAAUUAACAGGUUCGGAGGGGACCUGCGGAAGGAUCAUUAUCAAGGUUACAGCGGAAGGCGCUCUCGGGUGUCCUCCUGCUCUUGCAACCCUUGUCUUUUGCGUACUGUAUGUUUCCUCGGUGGGCUCGCCUGCCGAUAGGACAUUCAUAAACUCUUUGUAAUUGCAAUCAGCGUCAGAAAAACUUAUAAUAGUUACAACUUUCAACAACGGAUCUCUUGGUUCUGGCAUCGAUGAAGAACGCAGCGAAAUGCGAAAAGUAGUGUGAAUUGCAGAAUUCAGUGAAUCAUCGAAUCUUUGAACGCACAUUGCGCCCCUUGGUAUUCCAUGGGGCAUGCCUGUUCGAGCGUCAUUUGUACCUUCAAGCUCUGCUUGGUGUUGGGUGUUUGUCCCGCCGUUGCGCGUGGACUCGCCUCAAAGCAAUUGGCAGCCGGCAUAAGCCUGGGAGCGCAGCACAAUUGUUGCUUCCAUUCUUAGAUGUCGAGCGUCCAGCAAGCCUUUUAUUCUUGCGUUUGACCUCGGAUCAGGUAGGGAUACCCGCUGAACUUAAGCAUAUCAAUAAGCGGAGGAAAAGAAACCAACAGGGAUUGCCCUAGUAACGGCGAGUGAAGCGGCAUCAGCUCAAAUUUGAAAUCUGGCUCUUUCAGAGUCCGAGUUGUAAUUUGCAGAGGGCGCUUUGGCGUUGGCAGCGGUCCAAGUUCCUUGGAACAGGACGUCACAGAGGGUGAGAAUCCCGUACGUGGUCGCUAGCCUUCACCGUGUAAAGCCCCUUCGACGAGUCGAGUUGUUUGGGAAUGCAGCUCUAAAUGGGAGGUAAAUUUCUUCUAAAGCUAAAUACUGGCCAGAGACCGAUAGCGCACAAGUAGAGUGAUCGAAAGAUGAAAAGCACUUUUGGAAAGAGAGUCAAAUAGCACGUGAAAUUGUUGAAAGGGAAGCGCUUGCAGCCAGACUUGCCUGUAGUUGCUCAUCCGGGCUUUUGCCCGGGUGCAUUCUUCUAUAGGCAGGGCCAGCAUCCAGUUUGGGGCGGUUGGAUAAAGGCCUCUGUCAUGUACCUCCUUUCGGGGAGGCCUUAUAGGGGAGGCGACAUGCAACCAGCCUGGACUGAGGUCCGCGCAUCUGCUAGAACUGCGCUAAGGCCAAACGCCUUAAAAACCGAAAAA